GCAAUAAAUGUUUUCUAUUCAUUUUGUUAUCCGUCAUGUGUUUCCACGGAGAUUGAGAAACACAUGGGAGUGCACGGUAGUCGUUGCCUUGUCCAAUGUCCAUGUUAUGCUAAGUACGGACCUCAAACGGAAUCGCUUAAGUAAUUUACAUUCAGUGCAUUACUUUUUCUUGACCGUUUGAUUUGACGUUUCUUAUCAGCUCCAUACUUGGAUCAAGAAAUCAAACGCUUGCUCAUUUCGUGAGCGAUUCCUUCGAAAUAGGCCAAUAAAUUUCUUGCAUUACCUUCGUGAAUAUUUCAGCUGAGAAAUUACAGUGGGCGUAAAAUGGGUGGGAUUGUCUUAAAGAAGACCUGACUGUAUGGAGAUUUGGAGGAAACGAAACUUUAAGGUGCUGCCUAGACUUAUGCUUUUAACAUACUUAUACCGUAUGCGUGAUAAUGUUUGCACCAUCGUCAAAUAAAAUUCCAGUUUGACUUGUGAAGGCAAUGUAUUGGUUUUAUUUGCAGGCAUUUAAGCUAUUACUCAUAUCCUAGUAGGCUGUGAAUAAAAAGUGUUGAUUUUCUUAGUUUUACACUUGCAUAAUGACUAAGUGGCAACCUAGCUCGUGAUUUGUCCACGCGCAAAUGUCGAAAAGUAUCCGUGGUAGUGUCAAACUUAAGAUUAACAAUUUUUGAAUUUAUUUUUUUAUUUUGACAUUGCAUAAUGGUGUAGACAUUGGCACACAAACAAAAUUUAUAAUAACUAUUGAUUAUGGAAUUUGGUACGGAUCGAUAGUUUUUCGGAAAUCGAAAAAAACGGAGGUUGCGUUCGGGCAAAUUCAAGACUUUCUUAUAUGGCGCUACUCGUAGCUCCUGGAUGCCAUUGGUAAUAAUGUAAGUUUUUUUCUAUGGUCGAAGGAUCAUAAAGGCCACCGUAAUUUUCCUUUUCGAUAUGCCAUGCCGUUAAGUCGCUGAUUUCGCGUUUCUUUGCCAUUUUUCUCAUUGAGCGCAUAUAAUUCACCCAAAUCUUAUUUUUGGUGGCAGCGAUAGCUUUCUUAAUCCAUGUUAACCUUGGACGACCAGUGGACACCUUCGGGAAUAGUUGCCCUUGCUUUUUUUCGGUCUAAGACUGUUUUACGGUUCUCCUGAACACUCCUGAAAUGUCCCGACUACCGCUGCUACCCCUACAUGGUGCAAAUUUUAAACUUAAGAAAUCGGAUUUUUUACCCGCAACCUACUGUGAUAUGAGUUAGAGCUUAAGGACUGUUCAUUUUAUAAAGAGGACAACUUUGCAAGGCUAUAAAAAGAAAACGCGUAGUUCAAAUUUGAGCAGCCUUGGUUGGUUGUUUAGUACAUUAUAUUAGCAGAUAAUAACUAUAAUAAAAUUGGGUUAAAAUUGUUGGACUUCAUAGAAAUGUGGCAAAGUGUUAGGAGAGGUCAAUUUUUCGAUCCCCAAAAACUAAAGAUAAACACAAAAUUACUGUAAAACAUCGGUGUAUCGUUUUUAAUUUCAUAAAAGUGUUUGCCAUACUGCAGCAGUAUGAGUGAUACAUAU